rnacentral:rRNA from 1 species
AUGGCGGAUGCGACUCCUCUCUUCCCCGGCCUCCCGGACGAGAUCUCCAUCUGGGAGAUCCUCAUCCGCCUGGCCCCCAAACCCCUGCUCCGCUGCCGCGCCGUCAGCCCGGCGUGGCGCCGCGCCACCUCCCGCCGCGACUUCCUCCUCUCCCACCACGCCCGCCAGCCCGACCUCCCCCUCCUCGACGGCAGCGACGACUUCCGCGCCGCCUUUUCCGACAUCGUCUCCUUGGACCACCGUGCAGGGGUCGCCGCCGCCGGCCGGUUACAGUCCGUCGCGCGACUGAAAAAAGCAUGGUGA